rnacentral:lncRNA from 1 species
GGGUACCCUUGCUAGAUGGUCAUUUCGAUUCAUGCAUAAAUUUAUUCCUGUGCUACCAACUUAGGUUCAAACCUAUGAGGUCACACAUAUUAGAGUUCAUGAUCCAAUCGGAUGGUUGAUCAAUGAUGAAGAAUCGUUCUAGGGUUAAAUGAUCACUACGAUUGAUAUUUAACCCAAAGCAAGUGUUGCAGGAGGAUCGAUUGGCAAUUUGAUUGCUA